AAAGUCUGUGAGUGAGCUGUGACACAUGUUACAUAAAUAGAAGCCGCAGAGGGGAAAAGCCUGUUUUCUCUUUCAUUAUUUAUCACUCUCUAACCAUCUCCAGCUGGCCUGUUUGCUGUGAAGUUUCUGAUGCUUGCACCAAUACAAGAGCACAGCAGAAGAGUGUCUAAUCCAGCUCGGAGCAUUCAAGGAAAACCUCCAAGAGGAGGUGUCAUCUAAGCUACGGCUUAGAGUCAGCUGGGAAAGCACGGGGAAGGAAAGGUCUUCCAAGCAGAGGGCACAGCCGGAGAGGAAAGAGCCUAGUGUAUGCCAGAAGACUGACGUGGCCGAGCUGGGAGUGGCCACUGAAGAUUCAAGAAAGGACACCUUGUGCGUGUUGCACCAGAUGGAGGUGCUUAAAAUUGGCCCCGAGGGACUGGGUCUUGAACAAGCCAUGGAAACACCCUUGGCUCAGGCUCAAGACAAGCCAGAAGCGCUGGAGAGUUACUGUGUCUGAAAGCAGCCCUCCACCGAUGGCAAAGAAGGAGUUGCUGGAUAAAUACCCCAGCUUCUGGCCCCGUAGUAUGGACACCUCGAGGCAUGUCUCAAACAUCUUCCUGGGUUUCCGAGUGGGACCGUGCCCUCUCGCUCACAGUGGAGGCUAACGCUCCCAGUUGGCUUCCCACCCGCCGCUCCCCUCCCCGGCUCCCUACACCCACUCCUCCAAUCCCUAUGUCAGUCAGUCUCCCGAGAACGGAAAUUAAGACAAAGGUGUUGUGAAAACCAAACAAGUAGAAAAUUGCAA